UAACACAUGCAAGUCGAGCGGGGGAAGGUAGCUUGCUACUGGACCUAGCGGCGGACGGGUGAGUAAUGCUUAGGAAUCUGCCUAUUAGUGGGGGACAGCAUCUCGAAAGGGAUGCUAAUACCGCAUACGUCCUACGGGAGAAAGCAGGGGAUCUUCGGACCUUGCGCUAAUAGAUGAGCCUAAGUCGGAUUAGCUAGUUGGUGGGGUAAAGGCCUACCAAGGCGACGAUCUGUAGCGGGUCUGAGAGGAUGAUCCGCCACACUGGGACUGAGACACGGCCCAGACUCCUACGGGAGGCAGCAGUGGGGAAUAUUGGACAAUGGGGGGAACCCUGAUCCAGCCAUGCCG
rnacentral:rRNA from 1 species